rnacentral:lncRNA from 1 species
AGGGGCCAAACCUGUUAAGCAAAGGAAGAGACAGUUUGCGCCGGAAAGACGUGUGGUCAUUCAGGAAGAGGUCGGCAAAUUGAUGGAAGUGGGGUUCAUAAGGGAAGUCCAAUAUCCCGAUUGGCUCGCUAAUGUUGUUCUUGUGAAAAAGGCCAGUGGUAAAUGGAGGGUCUGUAUUGAUUUCACAGAUCUUAAUAAGGCGUGCGCAAAAGACAGCUACCCGCUACCCAGGAUUGACAAUCUUGUGGAUAGCACAUCCGGACAUAAGCUGUACAGCUUCUUAGAUGCAUUCUCAGGGUAUCAUCAAAUCCUCAUGGCUGAAGAAGACCAAGAGAAGACGUCAUUCAUGGCCGAUUCAGCCAUAUAUUGCUAUAGGGUGAUGCCAUUUGGGUUGAAAAAUGCUGGGGCGACAUAUCAGAGGCCCAUCAACAAAGUCUUCGCCGAUUUGAUAGGAAAGAACAUCGAGGCCUAUGUGGACGACAUGGUUGUAAACAGUAAGAAGGUAGAGCAACACAUAUCCAACCUAGAUGAGGUGUUCGUCACCCUACGA